CAACCUAAAAAGUAUUGUUUAUAAGAUCAAACUGAGAAAUCUCUAAUUAGAAUGAUCAGAUACAAAAGAGAGAAGAUCAGUAUUUGGAAUGAGAAAGAUUAUUACUUUAGAUCUUACAAAGGCAUAAAAAUAAUAAAGAGAUGCUACAAAGACUAUGCCAACAAACUUAGUAAGUUUGGAAGAUACAAAGUAUCAAAGUUUGUUCCAGAAACAAACAUAAGUAUCAGAGUUUCUUGAAAGAUAUAAAGUAUCUAAAUUUAAGAAACAAAUACAUUAGCUAAAUAAUACUAUCUAUCAAAUAAGUUUGAUUUGUCCUAACAACUUUCCUUCAAAGAAAACUGAAAGUCCAGAUGGAUUCACUGGUGAAUUAUACCAAACAUUUAAGGAAGGCAUACUCUCUGUUGUGUUUAGGCUGUUCUAAAAUGCUGAAGAGAGAGAAUUCUUUCCAGUUCAUUAUAUGAAAUCAGAAUUACUCUGAAACUGAACCAAAGACAUGGAGACAACGGUCUGCCGUCU
rnacentral:lncRNA from 1 species